GAUGAACGCUGGCGGCGUGCCUAAUACAUGCAAGUCGAGCGAACGGACGAGAAGCUUGCUUCUCUGAUGUUAGCGGCGGACGGGUGAGUAACACGUGGAUCACCUACUUAUAAGACUGGGAUAACUUCGGGAAACCGGAGCUAAUACCGGAUAAUAUUUUGAACCGCAUGGUUCAAAAGUUAAAGACGGUCUUGCUGUUACUUAUAGAUGGUUCCGCGCUGCAUUAGCUAGUUGGUAAGGUAACGGCUUACCAAGGCAACGAUGCAUAGCCGACCUGAGAGGGUGAUCAGCCACACUGGAACUGAGACACGGUCCAGACUCCUACGGGAGGCAGCAGUAGGGAAUCUUCCGCAAUGGGCGAAAGCCUGACGCAGCAACGCCGCGUGAGUGAUGAAGGUCUUCGGAUCGUAAAGCUCUGUUAUUAGGGAAGAACAGCUGUGUAAGUAACUGUGCACAUCUUGACGGUACCUAAUCAGAAAGCCACGGCUAACUACGUG
rnacentral:rRNA from 1 species